CCUACGGGAGGCUGCAGUCGAGAAUCAUUCACAAUGGGGGAAACCCUGAUGGUGCGACGCCGCGUGGGGGAAUGAAGGUCUUCGGAUUGUAAACCCCUGUCAUGUGGGAGCAAAUUAAAAAGAUAGUACCACAAGAGGAAGAGACGGCUAACUCUGUGCCAGCAGCCGCGGUAAUACAGAGGUCUCAAGCGUUGUUCGGAAUCACUGGGCGUAAAGCGUGCGUAGGCUGUUUCGUAAGUCGUGUGUGAAAGGCGAGGGCUCAACCCGCGGACGGCACAUGAUACUGCGAGACUAGAGUAAUGGAGGGGGAACCGGAAGUCUCGGUGUAGCAGUGAAAUGCGUAGAUAUCGAGAGGAACACUCGUGGCGAAGGCGGGUUCCUGGACAUUAACUGACGCUGAGGCACGAAGGCCAGGGGAGCGAAAGGGAUUAGAUACCCCUGUAGUC
rnacentral:rRNA from 1 species